rnacentral:rRNA from 1 species
UACGUAGGGGGCAAGCGUUGUCCGGAAUCAUUGGGCGUAAAGCGCGUGUAGGCGGCUAGGUAAGUCUGCUCUGAAAGCCCGGGGCUCAACCCCGGGAGGCGGGUGGAUACUGUCUAGCUCGAGUCCGGAAGAGGAGUGUGGAAUUCCUGGUGUAGCGGUGAAAUGCGCAGAUAUCAGGAGGAACACCAAUGGCGAAGGCAG